CCCGGCGCCGCGGCCCAACCAGUCCACACAGAACCCGUUGCUGGCGCCCACCAACUUCCUGUUCGACCUGGACCGCCAGACGCAAGAGGUGGUGAAGGCCAUCAUGGCGGGUCAGCAGGCGGCCGUGGAGGGUGACAGGCUGAGCCUGCCCAUGACCCCGGAGCGGUACACGGUGUCGGCGCAGCUGACCCUGGCGCAGCUC